UUGCGAGAGUUCUGGAAAAUUAUCCGGAAAAACUGCCUCAAAUACCCGACUUUUUUUUUUUUUCAUCGGUCCGAGCUUUAGUCGUUGACACCAGUGCUGUUUUCGUUCUCGAUGUUUGGCGGAGUUGCCAGCUCUCCACGGGGAUUCCGACCAUCAGGUGUAAAGUCGCUUGGACACAAAGGCCAGGAGACCAAAGCCAGUGGAAAGAUGCGGUCCAACAACGAAGCCCAAAAGGACGCGGAUGGCGAAAAAGUGGGAUCGAAAGAGUCGCCAGUAACUUGUGAGGAGUUGAUAGGAGCGAGAGCAACAGGCCCAAGCGUUGCUGGAGAGUGAGUCUUUUGGAGGAGAGACAGCGCCGCAGUGGAUUUGAGGAUUAAAAGACACUUUUCAUUUGGAGUCGGCGGAGACUUGUUCCAGAAGGAUUUCAACUUCUGCCGCAGCGGUGCCAGGAGGGAUGCGUUUUUCGGCUGACUUGGAAACGGUACAGUCGCGGAGAGAUUUUUGAGGAUUAUCAACCGGAGGAGUCGUGGUGAGGCGCCUCAGCAGAAGCAGGCAUGCUGGUGUUGAAGCGACUGGGAUGACAGCAAGGCGUGUUUUGGAUCGCCUAAAAUGGGGUACGAGCGAUGGGCUUGGACCGGACGGACGUCCGGGGCGAAGGUGCCACAAGGCCUCGGACUCUUUGGUCAGCAUGGCGAGAGAAGACCACCUCACAGGGAUUUUCCCCUUCAGCAGGAGCAGGAGGGAGCUGCUGCUCUGCUUGUGAGGGAGCUCACUAACCUGGGCCACAGUCAGGAGUCUUGAGUCACUGUCGGCGCCGGUCCAAACAACAUGUGGCCUCAGUCUUUUGGCAACGUGCAGGCAGCCCGGACCACAUGAAAGCACCAGCUACCCAUCUGACCUCCCUGUGUAAGCAAAAGGAUGCACUCAGUGACGCUCCGAUGAAAUCAUAUUAUUAUGAUUAUUACACCAUGUCUGCGCCUUCCGGAAAACCCAUAAAGAUAUAUUAUAAUUGCGUCAAUGGUCUUGGGUGAAUUGGUUUGCCUGGAACAUAUGAAGGAAAAGACCCGCUUCGGUAUGAAUUUAUCCUGGCUGCCGGUGGAAGGGAGAUGCCACCAGCUGCUUCCCGACAACUCAUUCCAUCUCCAGAACGGAACAUGAAGCCUGUUUUGAUUUGAACGGAGCGAGGGCAUGCUGGACGCACGUGGAGCGGUAAAUAAAAUACCUCCCAACUGACCAUGACGCACUUUAGCGCCGGGUCAGAAGAGGAAGGGACGUGAAGUGGACAGUGUUUGUUGGGGAAUCAGGAAGUGACUGAUGUGUUCCACUUGCGGGAUGUUUGACUUGAAAGCAGCGUCAUUGUGCCAGAACAGAUGACAACAGGUGGAGUGCACUGAGGUCAAGGCUGGGCUCCGGCCGCGUGCCGUCCAACAGCAACCCCCUGCUCCACUGAUAUUCCUGUGAGCUCAUGUGCUGAGGAGUCAUGCUUGAAGCUGCACUUGUUCUUGCACAAUUGUAGAUAUUGUUUUGGAUCUUAAACAUUCAUGUCCUGUCUGAUUGUCUAAGACAAAGAUUCACAAGAGGUCCAAGGUCACAACCAAACCGGGUGAGAUAGCUUCGUAUCCAGAUGAGCCCUGAGUGAGGUGUCCCUGGCAUUCAGAGGAGGCCCUGCACUGACCGAGGAAGGUCUCUGUUUUCUGAAGAAAAUGAGGAUGUUUGUGGUGGAACGAAACUCUGGGCCUGUUUACCUGGGAAUAAUCAAGUGUACAUGUUUCUGUAUUAAUCUGACAAACAUGUAAUGAAUAAAAAGAUAAGAGAAAAGAUAAAUAGGAAACAUGAUGGAAGAAGUUCAGUCUGUGCUUUUUGUUUUACAACACCAUCAACUUGUUUUUUUGGGUUUUUUUUACCUCUGCUUUUCAUUGUCAGACAACUAAAACCACAUAAAACUCUCAGUACUGUUUCACAGGUUGGCCCAAAAUGAAGGAGCCAUACUUGUUGUGCUGUAGGAGCGGGGCGCAAAUUCUAUGAUUCCAUUCAUUUAAUAUUUGUAAAGUUUUGUUUAGACACAUGGAAGUCAAAUGUACUCUUUGUACAUUCACCGAAAGUCAGCAUUAAUAUAAAAUAAGGAGAAAGAAGAUGGAAAUAUUGAACAAUUUUAUUUCAUGUUUGUGUCAUUUAAUUUAAUCCAGCUUUCUGUUCAGUAAGUCCAUGCAGUCAAACAAACAUGACUGUGAAUUGUAAUGUUCCAAGACGUGUCAUUAAACCCCUCACAAACUGACUGAUCCCUCCACUGAAACUCAAAAAAGACUCCCUCAUAACUCAUGUGGGUGAGUCAGCCGUCAGAAGCCUGAGGCGGUGAUGUGGACGGCGUUUCUGAAAGGCGUGUCAAAGACAGAGUGGUAAAGAUCACCUGGUCCAGACAGGACGGUCCGGUGUGUGUUACCCUGGCCUCGCCAUCUCUGACAGAGCCAUCUCCUCUCUCUGCUCCUGGUGACAUGAAUUAUUGACUGCAUGUAAAUCUGCAGCUGCUUUCUUUCCAGGUUCUUCCAGGUGAAUCUCAGACUUUCUUCUUCCGACGUGUGGCCUCUCACCUCCCUCCGCUGCCGUCAUGUUUCUGCACCCGAGGUGGAGGCACCUCUCGCGCUCUCUCUAAUGACUGAGGUCUCACUUCCACCCCUGCUCUGUCUCAGGUGGGAGCUUCUUAUGUAAGGGCUGACUCAACGACAAAACCUCUCCUUAUAAUUCAGCGUGUCACAGUAGUUUGUUGUGUGGCUUUGGUUACACUUGGGAGAUGCAGUGCUGAACUGGCAAAUGGCUUUCCAGAUCCCAGACGCCGCUGUCAUAUGAGUGUUUUCCCCCCUCUUCUUUUCUUCUUUCAAUCAAGUCCCGAGGUUUGUAAUUCUCCUCAGUGUUCGCGUAAAAGUAAUUUCAGGUUGAAAGAGGCGAAAAAAAAAAAGUUCCAGACAAGAAAAUCUAUCAAGAAUAACACAAGGCUUAUUCAAGGGAAAAUGAGAAAGACAACGAAAGUGAAGCAUUACCUUUGGCUCUGUUCAAUAAUUUCCUUUUCCCCAUUUCGUUUCAAUUGUUAGAAGCCCAGGCCGAUUGCUCCAAUAUUGCCGCUAAUCUAACUUCAAAGGGCAGCAGUCAUGUUAAAGCACUUUUUAAUUGUGAUAAGGAAUAUGCUUUCAUGCUUAAACCCUGCUCCCCGUCCGUCUCAGCGCCAUCCAUCCAUACAUACAUAUUGAAAGGCCUUUUUUUCAUUGGCAAUUACAAUGGGAAUUUUCCCCCGUCAGCCGAAACACGUGGGCCACACACAAGCAUGAAGACUGACAGUCGACGAUGGGGAGCAGCGAGCGUGCAGCGGUGUAUUCCAGCCACUUAGCUGCAAAUAUCUUCUUUGAUUUUUUUGCCUUUUUAAUCCUAAUUUCCCGGAGCAGGUCAGCGCUGCCGGGCUGCGGCUUGUCGUGGAGCUCCGAUUGAUUUGUAUUGGGCCUGUCAUUCCAGGCAGGGAAAUGUCCAGCACCGCAGUGACGAGGAGGCUCAGUGACAUCACGUACAGUCAAGAGGGAAAUGCCAUUUCAAUAUGAAUGCUCUGCAAUCCCUCACUCACAUUUCUUUGAUCAGAAUUCUGAUGAUGGAACAUGGCCACUUCUGGCUUAGAUUUUGUGGCUGUAAAUAUUUGAUGGAGUAUCAACAUGCCAUCUCGGUGUCACACAGCAGGUCACGCUCUUCCACCCUCCUCUACCUAAGUAAUCUCCCUUCUCCUCGUCUGCUCCGUCGGACACUCUUCUGGAUUGUGGCCCCUGUGGAUGGAGUUUUGGAUGGACCCCAGUGACUCGUUGCUGACUUUACAUUUAUUACAUAGUUCCUGCAUCAGUGCAUUCACUGUGGAGUCACCCAGAGUGCCUCGGUCUACCUGUGCCUAUUUAG